GCAUUGGUGGUUCAGUGGAAGAAUCCCCACCUGCCGUGUGGGAGACCCGGGUUCGAUUCCCGGCCAAUGCA